GGCGACGAAGGCGUGGACGACGACGCCCCGAGGUAUAGACCCGAGAACGACGGCGGCCUCGAGGUAGAGGCCCGACGGCGACGACAGCCGGGACGAUGACAAACUGAAGACGGGAGACGACGACCCGAGGUAGAGGUCCGAGUACUCUAGGCAGGGGUUCUAGGCAGGUAGGUGGCGGGGGUUGGGGUUAGGGUAAGGUGCAGGGGCUCAGGGGCUGGGGUAGGGAAUGAGGGAAGGAACCUCAGUGUCGGAGGCUGUUGAGGCAGGUAGUAGCGGAACGUGGAGCCCGACCUCCCUCACCCGCAAUGAUCUUACGUGGUGAACACCGACGAUACAAAAGAGGGAGUAUGUACCGUAGUUACCACACAGACGGACUAGGACGUUGUUCACAAGUGAGAAACUACUCAGAAGAUUAGACGUUAAAUACGGACCAGGUAGAAGUACGACGUGUACCAUGAAACUGUACCGGUAGUCGGACUGUCCUUAGGUGAGGUUAAAAUAAGUUCGAACGAUCCAACGGUCUGCUACCCACGACUUUAAAGAAUAUAGAGUAUUUAAACCUUCAGAACUCUUCCAUGAGUUGGUAGAUGACGCGUACCUACACUAUGAAGCCUCACAAGCUGUCGUAAACCGACAAACAUCAUAAAACCUGGUCGGUUGAACGCUAGUACUUAGAAUACAGACAAGACCUGGUAAACCACGAAGUUCACUAAACCUCGUAUAUAGAACACGAGUACCCACACUGAAACAAGACCUGGUAAAUCACAAACUUGAGGAAAUCUUGUUGUUUAUCACCAGGAAAAUACACCGAACACAAAAGAUCUACCACCAGGUUUACCGGUUUGAAACGAAACAGUUCUAACAGGACAAAAACUUGAAUAC
rnacentral:rRNA from 1 species